rnacentral:rRNA from 1 species
UACGUAGGGGGCGAGCGUUGUCCGGAAUCAUUGGGCGUAAAGCGCGUGUAGGCGGCUCGGUAAGUCUGCUGUGAAAGUCCAGGGCUCAACCCUGGGAUGCCGGUGGAUACUGUCGAGCUCGAGUCCGGAAGAGGCGAGUGGAAUUCCUGGUGUAGCGGUGAAAUGCGCAGAUAUCAGGAGGAACACCAAUGGCGAAGGCAGCUCGCUGGGACGUGACUGACGCUGAGGCGCGAAAGCGUGGGGAGCAAACAGG